GCAUGCAUCACUGAUUAAAGAUGAUAUGCAUCACUGAUUACGGACAAUCAGACCGAUUACAGGUGAUGUGUGUCACUGAUUACAGAUGAUAUGCAACACUGAUUACAGAAGAUAAAACAGGCGAUGUCUUCGAUGAGGAAGAAGAUGAAAAGGUGGUGAUUGAAAAAGAAUAUUCAAAAGUAAAAGAAAAAUUAGAAAAGGAAGGUUAUAGAGAAGGUCUGGAACAUGGACACGGUAUUUCCAUACAGCAGAGUUUCAACAAGAGUUAUAGAUUCACUGCAAAUAAAUUAUAUCGCCUGGGAAAACUAAAAGGACAAAUAAAUGCUGUUCUCUCCAUUGCUCACAAGAAACCUGAAAUACUGAAACCAAAAACCAAGGAUGGUUUAGAAGAUUUGUUGUCGAGUUUAUCGGAAUACGAACAGAAAUUAUUGUCACGCUUAAAAGAAACAGAAACAGCUAGACUGAUAGUAAAUGAAUCCGCUCGUGUCACCGAUCAGACAAGUAGCCUGUACGUCGAAGAUGAUUUCUCAGAUUUCUUGGGAUUAAAAUCAGAUGCAAGUAGCGAGUCAGAUGUAUCAUGUCCUAAGGAAGUAAAUUGUGAGGUCAAGGAUGACAUGAAGUUGUGUACGGAACACACUCCGAAUAAGACUGUUGAAGAAAUCUCUGAAACUCCUGAAGUCCAGCUUCGAGAUCGCAGAAUCUCAACGACGCAGAAACAAUUUCAACUUCUUUUGGAAGGAAUAGAUACAGAAAUUGCAACGUUUGAAUCAAAAUACGCUGCAUUAAUGGCUGAACAAUUUUAACUUUUUUUAAAAUUUUUAUUGUUUUUUAUUUGUCAUUUCAACUUGCUUUCUUUUGUAUUUUUGACAUAGAUAUGUAAUGUUUAUUCAUAUUUGAUAAAAUUAUUUAUGCAAUUGUUCUGCAUUCUCCAGAAAUAAAUGGAAAACAAGUUUUCAGCAGUAUAUUAAAAAAUCCAAAUCAGCCAAGAGCAAUAUUAUCUUGUAUGAUUUUAGUGCUCAGCCAAUGAAUCAUCAGUAUUCUUAAAAUGUUUUAGUUUAAAUUUUCGUGAAAAGGGCUCAAGAUCUAGGAAAGAACAAGACCUGAUUAAACGGUAUAGGAAUGAUUACAAGACCUGAUCCGUUUUACAUCCAUCAUACACACAAAGACUAAAUAAACAUUUACGAUUUUAUUAAAUUAAAGUAGAAUAAAUUCUUCUCAAUAUUCCCUAAGAGUACUUAGUGUUUUCGACUAAAAUUGUUGAUGCCGGACUUAAUAUGUUGAUCAACUAGCUUGGUUCAUGUCUGUUCUAAAGCAGAGCCAAUUGUAGACUGACAGUAUUAAGUUUAGUAUGAGUGUUAACAUGUAGUAAUCCAAAAAAUGUUGGUUCUUUAAGAAUAGAAACGGUUCAGACAGCUAUCCAUAAAUAAUGUGGUUGUAUCUGAGGACCAGAAUAUAUUGUUUAUCUAGCCCCAUGUUGGAGAACAUUGCCCUAAAUCUGGCCCCAUGUUGGGGAACAUUGCCCUAAAUCUUCCCCAUGUUGCGGAACACUGCCCUAGAUCUUCCCCAUGUUGCGAAACACUGCCCUAGAUCUGGCCCAUGUUGUUGAAUAUUGCCCUAGAUCUGGCCCCAUGUUGCGGAACACUGCCCUAGAUCUGGCCCCAUUUUGGGGAACACUGCCCUAGAUCUGGCCCCAUGUUGGGGAACACUGACCUAGAUUAUAUCUGUAAAAGUUUAUCUAUAAUUGGUCAGCUGAUGUCAGUUUAUUAAAGAUGUAGAUUGCACUGUUAUAUUGUCUUCCUCUAUAUGCCAUGUCCAGGCUAAAUAAUUGUAAUUUGAGUAUCUUGAGUAUGUUAUGACUGUUCUGCUUCUGUUCCUACUGUCUUCACCAUGUGCAAUUCUCAAUAUCUCAGUGGUUGACUUGGUGGAGAUAAAUGGAUCCGAUGAUGGAAGUCUUAAUGUUGCUUCUCAACCGUAUCAACCUGUGAUUCUCAGAUAGCCACACAAAGCAUGGGAAAACGCACAAACAGCAGCUGUAUCUUAACUCCAGCUUAUCCGAAACGAAAAUUUGGAUGUUGAUCGGGGAUCUUUCAAGAAACUAUGAGUCUAGUUAUAAAAAAGGAAGUCUAGUCUUUGGUGUUAGUGGUAUUUUUGUUGAAUUUUAAUUAGGGUUUCUCGGAGAUGCUAAGUGUGCCUGAGUUUUGCCGUAUCAUGCAAAGUGUUAGUGUUUAACAUCGUACUAUUCUGUAUAAACUGGGCUAAUGAAGACGGAAAUAUUCUAUAAGAGAAAUUGUGCCCUGGAAGCCUACUAUUAUUUCAAUUUCCAACUGUAAGGGCAUUUUUAACAUGAUGCCAAAGAUGUACACUGAAGCUUGAUUUGUGUUUCUCUCUGAAAUACUAGAUACUUGUCCUUGCCAGACCCUCCGUCCUGCACCACUGACAAGGGUAAACCAUCGCCUUGUUCGGUACUGGCCAGGACCUUUAAUAAGUGAGCCAGCACCUAACUCACUUAGCCACUGUGGCACUAAAUUGUUUCAGAGAUAAGAUUUUCUUUUUUAUUGUCAUUACACAAAAUGCCAUCAACAGAAAAGUCAUAUGACCAUAAUAGCUAUUUAUUGACCUUCUCCCUUUUGUGAGUUUAGACUUGCUUUGUUCCCUUGCUAUUAAAAUUUGCUUGUGUGUUUUUUUCAGGAAUUUUACCUGGUAAACUAGAUUUCAAAACUACUUUACAAAAACUUGUUAUAUAAUAACGAUUUUCAUUUAGUGGUUUCUAAAUAAACUUAUUAUAUAAUAACGAUUUUCAUUUAGUGGUCUCUAAAUAAGCUAAUUAUAUAAUAACGAUUUUCAUUUAGUGGUUUCUAAAUAAGCUUAUUAUAUAAUAACGAUUUUCAUUUAGUUGUCUCUAAAUAAGCUUAUUAUAUAAUAACGAUUUUCAUUUAGUGGUUUCUAAAUAAGCUUAUUAUAUAAUAACGAUUUUCAUUUAGUUGUCUCUAAAUAAGCUAAUUAUAUAAUAACGAUUUUCAUUUAGUGGUUUCUAAAUAAACUGUCACUGUACCUUUUGAGAGAGAGUAAAUAUAAUUAGCCAACUGGUUGAUCGGUUUAUGUUUUACUGCCAGAAUUUUUCACUAAAUAAUUUUCAAAAAUGUGUAAAAUAUAUCUCAUUAUUUUCAUGUAUUUUCGUCUGAAUAAAUUGUUUAUUUGCUCAUGCCAUUAAGUGACUUUGCUGUAAAUUUAUAUCCAGAGAGUAAAUGUGAUUAGCCAACUGGUUGACCAGUUUAUGUUUUGAGGGUCGUCUUGGAAAUGUUUCUACUGGUCUACCGUUUUUAUUUGGGGCGGGGGACUGUUAGAUAUAAAUGAAAACUUUAUUUGUUAGGAGAUCGUUGAGAUAAUAAAUGGUGUUUUUUCCAACAAACUAAAUCAACACUGUGUUUCACUAUGAUGCUGGAGACCGACCAAUUUGGCACUGUUAAACAUUGAAGGUUACUUUUUCUCAGAAAUUGAACUUUUUGGAUAUCACUGAUUCUUUUAGUGCAUUAAAGGUACUUAAACUAAUUUUAUCGAAAUUUGUGUUUGAUAUAUAUUAUUGAUUUAAGAUUGUACCCUUCUAAAUAAUCUAUAUUCAAAUCAAUAACAAAAUAUUACAUGAUUCAAUUUUAGUAUAAACUUAAUCUAUUUUAGGUAGGGAGCUAGAAAAGAGCACCCAUUUACUUAAGUGAGUCAGGGGCCCCAUGCACCUUGAUAGGCAUGGAUGACCUGUUACUAGAAGUUAGAAAGAUGCAUGUUGUACAAGUGUCUUGGUUUGGCUUGGUCCCGGGUUUUGAUUUGGUUCUUUAUGUCUUGUUUAAAUGAAACCACGGUUCCCUAUUGUUGUCACAGGGUAUCUAUUGUUGUCACAGGGUAUCUAUUGUUGUCACAGGGUACCUAUUGUUGUCACAGGGUACCUAUUGUUGUCACAGGGUAUCUAUUGUUGUCACAGGGUAUCUAUUGUUGUCACAAGGUACCUAUUUCAUAACAACAAAGGACCAGGUGACUAGAAAGCUUUUAUUAUCAAUUUUUUCUCAUCAAUUUCUAGUGACAGGGGUAGGGUCGCCUGUCCAACCUUGUGGGUUUUUCUCUGGGUCCUCCGGUUUCCUCCCACUGCAAAAGACCCCUACACGCAAGCAAAUUAUUGAAAUAAAAUUGAACCAUAUGUUAGUGUCGAGUGGACAUUAAACCCCAUCUCUCUCUCUCUCUCUCUCUCUCUCUCUCUCUCUCUCUCUCAAACCAUCUGCAAGAUCUCUUUUUUAUCAAUCAAGCUGUUUAUCUGGUAUUGUGUAAUUCAUAUUUAUUGAUAUGUUUAUAUAUUAUACUUAUUAUUGUUGUGUGACGCGUGUACUCACAUCUAUUGAGUACCGAAUUAUUUUUUACUUUUACUAAAUAAAACCCAAUAGCCAAGCCAAACUGGGUACCAGGUCAAGUCAAACCGCUAUAAAAUAAUAUUAUAUGGAGUUGAAUUUGUGUUUUUAUUAUGAAAUUUGUUGCUUUAUUAUUUAUUAAGAUUGUUAAAAAAAAAAUAAUGUGUUUAUUAAACUAUGGUUUAGAUGUU